AGAGUUUGAUCCUGGCUCAGAACGAACACUGGCGGCGUGGAUUAGGCAUGCAAGUCGAGCGAGAUUUAUCUUCUUCAAUUCUUCGGAAAAGAAGUGGGUGAUGAGAGCGGCGAACGGGUGAGUAAUAUAUGGGUAAUUUGCCAUGAAGCUUGGGAUAGCCAUCCGAAAGGGUGGGUAAUACCAGAUGUGCUCGGGUGUCGCAUGACACCCUGUGUAAAGGUGGGGAUCUUCGGACCUGCCGCUUUUUGAUAAGCCCAUAUCCUAUCAGCUAGUUGGUAAGGUAACUGCUUACCAAGGCUUACGGGUAGCCGACCUGAGAGGGUGACCGGCCACACUGGGACUGAGACACUGCCCAGACUCCUACGGGAGGCUGCAGUCGAGAAUCAUUGUCAAUGUACGAAAGUAUGAACAUGCGACGCCGCGUGGAGGACGAAGGCCUUCGGGUUGUAAACUCCUGUCCUGAGGGAGUAAGUGCAGAUUGGAUAAUACCCUUUCUGUUUGAUAGUACCUCAGAAGAAAGUCACGGCUAACUCUGUGCCAGCAGCCGCGGUAAUACAGAGGUGGCAAGUGUUGUUCGGAUUUACUGGGCGUAAAGGGUCCGCAGGCGGUCCUGUGUGUCGGAUGUGAAAGCUCACGGCUCAACCGUGGAAUUGCAUUCGAAACUACAGGACUAGAGUACAGGAGGGGAGAGGGGAAUUCAGGGUGUAGCGGUGAAAUGCGUAGAUAUCCUGAAGAACACCGGUGGCGAAGGCGCCUCUCUGGACUGAUACUGACGCUCAUGGACGAAAGCUGGGGGAGCGAAGAGGAUUAGAUACCCUCGUAGUCCCAGCCGUAAACGGUGUGCACUUGAUGUUGGAGGUUUACCCCCUUCAGUGUCGGAGCUAACGCGUUAAGUGCACCGCCUGGGAAGUACGGCCGCAAGGUUAAAACUCAAAGGAAUUGACGGGGGCCCGCACAAGCGGUGGAGCAUGUGGCUUAAUUCGAUGCAACGCGAACCGCAUUACCAGGACUUGACAUAAUACUGCAUAUGACUGGAAACAGACAUAGCCUUCGAGGGUGUAUUACAGGUGCUGCAUGGCUGUCGUCAGCUCGUGUCGUGAGAUGUUCGGUUAAGUCCGGCAACGAGCGCAACCCAUACUGUUAGUUGCUACCAGGUAAUGCUGGGCACUCUAACAGGACUGCCC
rnacentral:rRNA from 1 species